rnacentral:lncRNA from 1 species
GUGAUUUCUUGGGAAACACAAAGGUAAGGAUAUCUUUUUAAUAGUUUGUGUGUAUUUAACAAACUUGGUACAUGUGAAAUGUCUAUGAUCAUAAUCCAAGAAAUUCUAGGAAGUCUUUGAUUAUAAUCUAAGAUUUUUCUUGAGCACAUUAUAAUUAUCUGAACUUCCAUCUAUUCAUUUUUAAUUUUCUUGAGAUUAACAUUGUGACAUGAGUUUCCUAAGAUUCUUAAGCAUAUAUAGAUAAAUGAGGAUAUUUGCUUAGGUUUUUAGCGGGAUUUUCUGUUUCUUUCAUAUCUGACAUCUGUCAUAUGCGUAUACACACACACACACACACACACACACACACACCCC